rnacentral:rRNA from 1 species
AGGACGAACGGCUGGCGGGCGUGCCUAAUACAUGCAAGUCGAGCGAAUGAUGAGAGAAGCUUGCUUCUCUCUGAUUUAGCGGCGGACGGGUGAGUAACACGUGGGUAACCUGCCUUGUAGACUGGGAUAACUUCGGGAAACCGGAGCUAAUACCGGAUAAUACUUUUGAACUCAUGUUUGGAAGUUGAAAGAUGGUUUCGGCUAUCACUAUAAGAUGGACCCGCGGCGCAUUAGCUAGUUGGUGAGGUAAUGGCUCACCAAGGCAACGAUGCGUAGCCGACCUGAGAGGGUGAUCGGCCACACUGGGACUGAGACACGGCCCAGACUCCUACGGGAGGCAGCAGUAGGGAAUCUUCCACAAUGGACGAAAGUCUGAUGGAGCAACGCCGCCGUGAGUGAUGAAGGAUUUCGGUUCGUAAAACUCUGUUGUAAGGGAAGAACAAGUAGCGUAGUAACUGGCGUUACCUUGACGGUACCUUAUUAGAAAGCCACGGCUAACUACGUGCCAGCAGCGGC